UCUUUCUGCUCUGCUUUCUGCCUCUAAUAAUCACAAUAAAUUUAGAUAAAAGUUGCCAGCAAUAUCCAUGCCACCAUCUGAAUGUUGUGCUGCCUUGAAAUUUCCUCUGCCAGAUUAAGGCAUCUACAGAAUUUGGCUUCACAGAAAGUCUCAGGCCAUAGGAAAGUAUAGACAACUAAUUAGCCAGAACAUAAUAUGAAUGAACUCUAGUGCAAUUUCCAAUAGAGCCCUCCUUAUCCUCUGAAACCUCAUAAGGCCAGUCUUUACUGUCCUUAGUCCUAUUAGCAUUCUUAUCUUCUGAACUCCACCAUUAAGUUUUACUUAUAACAUUCUAGUGCUUUUCUAGUGCAUCAUUAAACUUUCCAAAAUUCCUUCCACAAAUUCCACAAAGCUUCUAAACCACAUGGUUAGGUUAGUCACAGCAACACCCCCACUCCUAGUACUAAUUCUUUUUUUUUUUUUUUUGUGAACAAAGGAACUGAGAUAAGAACAAUGUCACAGAGGAAAUGUUUAUUUGGCACUCACCAUUUUGAGUUCUUAGUCCACAGAUAACUGACUCCAUUCCUCAGGGCCUAAAGUGAGGCAGAACAUCAUGGCAGAAGAGUGUGGCAGAGGAAAGCAGCUGGGGAUGUGGCACCAGGAAGCAAAGAGAAAUUUCCACUCACCAAGAACAAAAUAUGUACCCCAAAGGCUCAUCCCCCAUGACAUACCUCUUCCAGCCACAUCCUACCUGCCUACAGUUACCACCCAGUUAAUCACUACUAGAGGACUAAUGCACUGUUUAGACUAAGGCUUUCAUAACCCAAUAAUUUUGCCUUUAAACUUUCUUAUAUGUCUCACAUGAGCUUUUGGAGAACACCUAAAACGUAUCUAAACCAUAACAUCAUACUUUUUUUUUUCAGUACUGAGUAUUAAAGCAAGAGCCCAGUAUGUGCUUGGCAAGCACUCUACCACUGAUCUAGAUCCCCAACUUUUAAAAUUUUUUUGUUUCUUUUUACCCAUUCUUUAGUAUUUACCUUAUUCUAAAUAAUAUCCUUGUUCUGCUAUUUCUUGAUUUAUCAAUUUUAGAUAUUAUCAGUCAACACACUCCCCUACAGGAAGACCUUGACUACAUUAUACUACCACCCCACAUCCUCUUAUCUCAUCUUCCUAAUACACUAUUUCAACUUUCAAGUUAGUAAAAGUGUUUCAUUGUGAUCAUGUAAAUACUGUUUCAUCCCUCUCUUAUUCAUUUAUUAUAAAGCAUUCUGGUUUCCCUUGCAUUGAAAUUGCCCUGUUUUUAUUUUUUCAUUUGCCAAGUUUCUACAUAUUGUACAUGGCUGUAAAGAAUGGUACCUGAUGUGGUCUUAGUUGUUAAAAUCACUCUUAGAUGUGAUUUCAUCUGUUCUUCUAAAUUAAUUAUCUCCCACCAUUUGCUUUCUGAUUUCUAAAAGUCUCAUUUUUUUAAUAUUUAUUUUUUAGUUAUAGGUGGACACAAUAUCCUUAUUCUACCUCUUUGUGGUGCUGAGGAUCGAACCCGUUGCCUCACGCAUGGUAGACAAGUGCUCUAUCUCUGAACCAAAAUCCCAGCCUCACAAAAGUCUCAUAUUUUAUUGUCUUCAUUUUCAUUCUUUAUCCUUGUUAUUUAAUAACUCAUUUUUUAUUAUAAUUUUAGGGGAGAUUUUUGAGGAGAAAGGAGAUAAAGGUGAAACUGGUUUUCGAUAGCCAUAUACCCUUGAGAGAGUUGUCACUGUGCUACAGAAUGCACUCCCUCUCUUCUGUCUUGAACUUACUUCAGCAGGUUUUUGCCCUCACCAAUGGAAAGAAUGGAUAACUCUUGAGGUAACCAGUGACCACUGCACUGCAAUCCAAUGGGAAGUUCUGUCUUCAUUCUAUUUGACUCAUUUUAUUCCUUCUUCCUUGAAUUUGUUUUUUCAGAGGAUCACAUUCUCCUGGUUUCCCUGCAUUUUUAUUUUUUAUUUUUUUAGUUGUAGUUGGUCACAAUAUCUUUAAUUUAUUUAUUUAUUUUUAUGUGGUGCUGAUUAUCCAACCCAGCGUCUCACAUGUGCUAGGCAUGCACUCUACCACUGAGCCACAACCCCAGCCCUGUUUCCCUGCAAUUUUGUUGACCUUUUAUUUUUAGUCUUCAUUUCUGGUUCCUCUUCAUCUCUCUACUCUUAAAUGUUGGAGGGCCCCAGGGUUUAGCCCUUGGACUUCUCUAUACUCAUUUAAUUGAUUAUCUCAUCCAAUCUAAUGGCUUAGAAUACCAUAUGUUCUUAAUUGCAAAAUUUUUAUAUCCAGUUCCAAUCCUUUAUCUGAACUCCAGAAUCAUCAUAUAGUCACCUGCCAGUUCACUAUCUCUGCUUGGCAUUCACACUUGAUAUGCCUAAACCUAAUUCCUGACUUUCCCUUCAAAACCUGUUCCUUCUUCUCAUCCUCUAUCAGUAAAUGGCAACUGUAUCUUUCUUUUUACUUGUUCAUGCCAAAGACUUUGGAAUCAUCUCUCUUUGUCAUGUAUCCUGUAUAUAUCAAGAAAUGCCUUUGACCACUCCUCAUCAUCUCUACUACCUCUUCCCCAGUGCAAGCCACAUCAUUGCUCACCUAGACUAUUGUAAUAGGCUUCUGACUUAUCUCUCUGCUUCUGCCCUUACUUCACCAAACCUACAAUCUGUUGUCAAGACAAGAGCAGAGAGUUGGACACAAUGGCACACACCUAUAAUCCCAGUGACUCCAGAGGCUGAGGCUGGAGGAUUACAAGUUCAAAGCCAACCUAAACAACUUAGCAAGACCCUGUCUCAAAAUAAAAAAGAUGGGGAUGUGGCUCAGUGGUUAAGCAUCCCUGGGUUCAAUCCCCAGUAACAAAAAGAAAACAAAAAAUAACAUGAACAGAAUAAUCAGGGUCUGUUUUUUCUUUUUGAUCUACAUCAGAUCACAAUAAUCCUCUGGUUUCCAUUUGACUCAGCAAAAUAUUUUGCCAUCAUGAAAAGUCACUCUUCUUGAGGUUAUCAAUGACCACCACACUGCAAUCCAGGAGACAGUUCUCAGUCUUCAAGUGGCUUCCCAUUUGAUUCAGUAAAACUUCAGUUCUUUCAGUUUUAUGUCAGACCAUCUUAUCCCAUUCAAACUACCGCUCUCUUCCCAGGUAUCAAACUUCCUUACUAUUACUUGAAUAUUUUAGGCAUAUUUCCAACUGAGGACCUUCACAGAUAUUUUCCUAGAUCUGGAACACUCUUCUGCCAGACACCCUUAUAGCUUUCUUCUGCAUCUUUCUAGUCAUUGGUUAAGAAUCAUGUCAGUGAUUUCUUCAUGUCACCCUGUUUUAAACUAUACCUUUUUUUCUUCUCUCUCUGCAUUAUCUUUUCAUCCUUUUUCCCCCUUUGUAGCAUAUAUUGUUUUGCCUCCUAAUACUGUCAUUAAUACCAAAAGAUUUCAUUCUGAAAAGAAUAUAUGGAUGUCAUUAUGAAAUUACAACUAACAACGAUAAAAGACAUUGAAAUGAUAUAAAGUAAUACCUUUACUUCACAACUACAAGCUAUAGUAUGCACCAGUUCCCUAGACAUUCAUAAGUAAUGCACCAGUGUCAUAUUUUGUCAUUUGUACUAUUAGUAGAUUUAAGAAGUUGAGAUUAAUUUGUUAAAAAAUCAUACAGUAUGUCCUUGAUCAUUUAAAUUUUAAGUCAUUUAAACAUAUGUAUAUCUUUUUCAUAAUCCAGCAUACUGAAGAAGUUUUAGUUUAAAGCCAAUAGGUAGGCUUCAGUUGGGAAAUAAGCCCCAGGGUAAAAAGGCAAGUCAUAUAGGGAAUAUUCCCUUUAUUUUUAAAUUUUUUAUUGGCACAUUAUAAUUAUACAUUAUAACAGGGUUCAUUUUGAUAUAUUCAUACCUGCACAUAACAUACAUAACUUGGUCAAUUUCAUUCCCCCAGUACCUCAUCUUUUCCUCCUCUUCUCCCUCCCACUAAUCCUAUUAUUCUACUUUGCUGAUUUUUCCAGUUCUAUCCAUUUUCCUGCAAGUGACAUAACUUCAUUCUUCUUUUUAGCUGAGUAAAACUCCAUUGUAUCUAUUUACCACAUUUUCUUAAUCCAUUCAUCUGUUGACAGGACACCUAGGCUGGUUCAGUAACCUAUGGUGAAUUUGAAAGCAUGCCUUUUAGAUGGAAUAAUUAGAAUUGAUACUUUGCCUCCUAUCAAUUUCAUCUUAUCUAUUCUGUUUCUAAUGCAUUUGCUUCUAGGAUCUGUGGAUUUUUAGAUUCAUUUUUCUAAUCAAGUCAGGAAAUUCACAACUGUUAUAUUCAUUCUGUGUGUUCUUUUGGGAACUUAAAAUUAGACCUAUAUUAGACCUCACUUUGUCUUCCCUUUUCUUAAUUUCCAUCUCUUUGUCUCUGUGCUCUAAUCUGAAUACUUAUUUAAUGUAUAUUAUGUAUUACUCAGCUAUUCACUCAGCUGUGUCUAAUUUAUCAUUUAAUUCAUUCACUGAGGUUUCUUUAAGUUUCCAUAAUUACAUUUUAAUACUUAUAUUUUAAAUUUUAAAAAUUAUUAUAUCUCAACGAUUAUGUUUUAUCUAGAAUUUGUCUUUUUUUUUGGUAGGGGGGCAGGUACCGGGAUUGAACUCAGGGGCAUUCAACCACUGAACCACAUCUCCAGCCCUAUUUCGUAUUUUAUUUAGAGACAGGGUCUCACUGAGUUGCUUAGCACCUUGCUUUUGCUGAGGCUGGCUUUGAACUCAUAAUCCUCUUGCCUCAGCUUCCCAAGCCACUAGGAUUACAAACAAGCGUGUGCCACUACACCCAGCUAGAAUUCAUCUUUUAAUCUGCUGUUCAUUCCUGUUAAUUUAUUGUGGCCUUCAUUUAAGCACACUAUGUUAUGUCUCUAAGAAUUCCAUUAUCUGCAAUCCUUAGGAAUAAAAUGUUUGUUGUUUUGUCUGACUCUCAGUGUCUGGCCUCUUCACAUAUAUAGUGAUAUUUAGUAGUUAUUUGCUUGUUAAUAUAUAUGAAUUCUACAGGCCAAUACUGGGGAAGUCUUGACUCCACAGAAGAUUUGCUUCUGCCCAUGCUGAUCUUCACAGGGCCCUAAAGUGAAACGAGUAUUAGAAAACUUCUGCUUUAAGAUCUAGAAAAUAACUAAGUGCUUUCUGGCUUAUGAGAGGAAAGAUACAUUUAUAAUGUAUAGUUUUGAGUGUAUUUUGUAAUCAAUAAUAACAUUCUUUGAAACUCUUUGUAAACCAUGUGCAAUGAUUUUCAGCAACCAAACUCAUAAUUAAUUGGAAAAAAUCCACUCUUCAACCACUGUAUUAAAUUAUUAAAUAUGUUUUUCCAUUUGUAUGUUAAAAUGCAAACUUAAAAAACAACCAAAAUGGCACCGGGUAUGAUGACGCACGUCUGUAAUCCCAGCAGCUCAGGAGGCUGAGACAGGAAGAUUAUGAGUUUAAAGCCGGUCUCAGCAAAAAAAGCAAGGCACUAAGCACCUUAGUGAAACCCUGUCUGUAAAUAAAAUACCAAAAAGAUGAAUAUCUUAAUAUGAAUGGUUAACACAUUUUCCAUUUGAAGCUUAUUAAUAUUCUAUAAGUUGAAAAUGGAUCAAGUUCUUUCAUACAUUUCUAGGAUUGGAAGAUGAGAAGUAAGAUGCCUACCGAACUAAUAAAAAUUAUUGUGGAUACCAGUUAGAGGAAUCUGUGCAUUUUUAAGGGCAGAAUAUAUUACUUCUGAUCAAAAUUUUUAAAAAGGUCAAGCCUUAUGUUUAAGUUCCAGCUCUGUCAAACUGCUAGUUAGCUUUCUAAGAGAACUUAACCUCCAAAUCUCACUUAUCUACAAAAUUUCCUCAUCUAUAAAAAUCGUAACUACUUCAGGGAGUUGUUGAGAGGACUAAAGGAUUCUGUUUCAUGCACUUAGCAGAGCACCUGACAUAUAGUAAGGACUUGGUAUGUAUUAACUCCUGCUGUUAAUAGCCAUUUGUUAAUUUCCAUGUUAUCAAUAUGUGAUUUUGAAUCAGACACUAAGGAAUCCUGCUAAUGAGAUCAAGUGAAAAAAUAUAUUUUAGGAACAGGAAUAUUCUUGAGUACUACUCUAUUAUAAGAAUGGGAUAUUCUCUCUGUUUUCCUGUACAGGUAUUAAAAGACAACGGGGGAGGGGCUGGGGUUGUGGCUCAGCGGUAGAGUGCUCGCCCUGCACGCAUGAGACCCUGGGUUCAAUCCUCAGCACCACAUAAAAAUAAAUAAGUGAAAUAAAGGUGUUGUGUCCAACUACAACUAAAAAAUAAAUAUUAAAAAAAACAAAGGGGGAAAUACUGUUAAGCAAUAAGCAAUCAGGAUUCUGCAAUGUUGGGCACACUUGUGUGAUGAUGCCACGUAGGACUUGUAGUCUCAACACUUGGAAUCUCAAGUGGGUAUUAUAAAUAGGGGCCUCCAUUUUCUGGUAGUUAAAAAAGCUCUCUACUCAGAUAUAACCAUCAGAAAUACAUGAGAAAUGAACAUGGCCCCCAACACGCACUUUUUAAUUUUUUAGAGACUUUGAAGCAGGUGAAAGGAAUAUGUAAAUACCUUUUGUUUACCUUCACACAUUAAUUUUGGUUUUGUGCAAACUUUUGCCUUGUAUGGAGAAAAAAAUAAAGUCUUGUUCUUGUUGGAGUCCCAAA